AUUGAACGCUGGCGGAAUGCUUUACACAUGCAAGUCGAACGACAGCACGGGGGCAGCCCUGGUGGCGAGUGGCGAACGGGUGAGUAAUACAUCGGAACGUGCCCGGUCGUGGGGGAUAACGUAGCGAAAGUUACGCUAAUACCGCAUACGAUCUGAGGAUGAAAGCGGGGGACCUUCGGGCCUCGCGCGAUCGGAGCGGCCGAUGUCAGAUUAGGUAGUUGGUGGGGUAAAGGCCUACCAAGCCGACGAUCUGUAGCUGGUCUGAGAGGACGACCAGCCACCCUGGGACUGAGACACGGCCCAGACUCCUACGGGAGGCAGCAGUGGGGAAUUUUGGACAAUGGGCGCAAGCCUGAUCCAGCCAUUCCGCGUGCAGGACGAAGGCCUUCGGGUUGUAAACUGCUUUUGUACGGAACGAAAAGGCUCUGGCUAAUACCUGGGGCUCAUGACGGUACCGUAAGAAUAAGCACCGGCUAACUACGUG
rnacentral:rRNA from 1 species